rnacentral:rRNA from 1 species
UAGCAUAUCAAUAAGCGGAGGAAAAGAAACCAACAGGGAUUGCCCCAGUAACGGCGAGUGAAGCGGCAACAGCUCAAAUUUGAAAUCUGGCCCUUGGGUCCGAGUUGUAAUUUGUAGAGGAUGCUUUUGGCGAGGUGCCUUCCGAGUUCCCUGGAACGGGACGCCAUAGAGGGUGAGAGCCCCGUCUGGUCGGACACCGAGCCUCUGUAAAGCUCCUUCGACGAGUCGAGUAGUUUGGGAAUGCUGCUCAAAAUGGGAGGUAUAUGUCUUCUAAAGCUAAAUAUUGGCCAGAGACCGAUAGCGCACAAGUAGAGUGAUCGAAAGAUGAAAAGCACUUUGAAAAGAGGGUUAAAAAGUACGUGAAAUUGUUGAAAGGGAAGCGCCUAUGACCAGACUUGGGCCCGGUGAAUCAUCCAGCGUUCUCGCUGGUGCACUUUGCCGGGCACAGGCCAGCAUCAGUUUGGCGCGGGGGAAAAAGGCUUUGGGAAUGUGGCUCCCUCGGGAGUGUUAUAGCCCAUUGUGUAAUACCCUGCGCCGGACUGAGGUACGCGCAUUGCAAGGAUGCUGGCGUAAUGGUCAUCAGCGACCCGUCUUGAAACACGGACCAAGGAGUCGUCUUCGUAUGCGAGUGUUCGGGUGUCAAACCCCUACGCGUAAUGAAAGUGAACGCAGGUGAGAGCUUCGGCGCAUCAUCGACCGAUCCUGAUGUUCUCGGAUGGAUUUGAGUAAGAGCAUACGGGGCCGGACCCGAAAGAAGGUGAACUAUGCCUGUAUAGGGUGAAGCCAGAGGAAACUCUGGUGGAGGCUCGCAGCGGUUCUGACGUGCGAAUCGAUCGUCAAAUAUGGGCAUGGGGGGCGAAAGACUAAUCGAACCUUCUAGUAGCUGGUUUCCGCCGA